rnacentral:rRNA from 1 species
AUGGCCACAUUAAGCUGAAACACUGGUUCCCAUAUGAUCAUACAAGUUAAGCAACAUUGAGCCUGGUCACUACCUAGGUAGGUGAAUGCUUUGGAAUACCAGGUGCUGUAA